rnacentral:hammerhead_ribozyme from 1 species
AUCCAGCUGACGAGUCUCAAAAAUAACUAAACGCGCGUCCUGAAU